AGUGAACGCUGGCGGUAGGCCUAACACAUGCAAGUCGAACGGCAGCACAGUAAGAGCUUGCUCUUACGGGUGGCGAGUGGCGGACGGGUGAGGAAUACAUCGGAAUCUACUUUUUCGUGGGGGAUAACGUAGGGAAACUUACGCUAAUACCGCAUACGACCUACGGGUGAAAGCAGGGGAUCUUCGGGCCUUGCGCGAUUGAAUGAGCCGAUGCCGGAUUAGCUAGUUGGCGGGGUAAAGGCCCACCAAGGCGACGAUCCGUAGCUGGUCUGAGAGGAUGAUCAGCCACACUGGAACUGAGACACGGUCCAGACUCCUACGGGAGGCAGCAGUGGGGAAUAUUGGACAAUGGGCGCAAGCCUGAUCCAGCCAUACCGCGUGGGUGAAGAAGGCCUUCGGGUUGUAAAGCCCUUUUGUUGGGAAAGAAAAGCAGCAGGUUAAUACCCCGCUGUUCUGACGGUACCCAAAGAAUAAGCACCGGCUAACUUCGUG
rnacentral:rRNA from 1 species